AGAGUUUGAUUCUGGCUCAGGAUGAACGCUGGCGGCGUGCCUAACACAUGCAAGUCGAGCGAUGAAGUUUCCUUCGGGAAACGGAUUAGCGGCGGACGGGUGAGUAACACGUGGGUAACCUGCCUCAUAGAGGGGAAUAGCCUUCCGAAAGGAAGAUUAAUACCGCAUAAUAUUAUUGAGUGGCAUCACUUGAUAAUCAAAGGAGCAAUCCGCUAUGAGAUGGACCCGCGUCGCAUUAGUUAGUUGGUGGGGUAACGGCCUACCAAGACGACGAUGCGUAGCCGACCUGAGAGGGUGAUCGGCCACAUUGGGACUGAGACACGGCCCAGACUCCUACGGGAGGCUGCAGUGGGGAAUAUUGCACAAUGGGCGCAAGCCUGAUGCAGCGACGCCGCGUGAGGGAUGGAGGCCUUCGGGUUGUAAAGCUCUGUUAAUCGGGACGAAAGUGACGGUACCCAAGGAGGAAGCCACGGCUAACUACGUGCCAGCAGCCGCGGUAAUACGUAGGUGGCGAGCGUUAUCCGGAUUUACUGGGCGUAAAGGGAGCGUAGGCGGAUGAUUAAGUGGGAUGUGAAAUACCCGGGCUCAACCUGGGUGCUGCAUUCCAAACUGGGAGACUAGAGUGCAGGAGAGGAAAGUGGAAUUCCUAGUGUAGCGGUGAAAUGCGUAGAUAUUAGGAAGAACACCAGUGGCGAAGGCGACUUUCUGGACUGUAACUGACGCUGAGGCUCGAAAGCAUGGGUAGCGAACAGGAUUAGAUACCCUGGUAGUCCAUGCCGUAAACGAUGAAUGCUAGGUGUUGGAGGUAUCGACCCCUUCUGUGCCGGAGUUAACGCAAUAAAGUACCCCGCCUGGGGAGUACGACCGCAAGGUUGAAACUCAAAGGAAUUGACGGGGGCCCGCACAAGCGGUGGAGUAUGUGGUUUAAUUCGAUGCAACGCGAAGAACCUUACCUGGUCUUGACAUCCACAGAACUUUCCAGAGAUGGAUUGGUGCCUUCGGGAACUGUGAGACAGGUGCUGCAUGGCUGUCGUCAGCUCGUGCCGGGAAAUGUUGGGUUAAGUCCCGCAACGAGCGCAACCCUUAUCCUUUGUUGCCAGCGGUCCGGCCGGGAACUCAAAGGAGACUGCCAGUGAUAAACUGGAGGAAGGUGGGGAUGACGUCAAGUCAUCAUGGCCCUUACGACCAGGGCUACACACGUGCUACAAUGGCGCAUACAAAGAGAAGCGACCUCGCGAGAGCAAGCGGACCUCAUAAAGUGCGUCGUAGUCCGGAUUGGAGUCUGCAACUCGACUCCAUGAAGUCGGAAUCGCUAGUAAUCGUGGAUCAGAAUGCCACGGUGAAUACGUUCCCGGGCCUUGCACACACCGCCC
rnacentral:rRNA from 1 species